rnacentral:rRNA from 1 species
GGGCCCGCACAAGCGGUGGAGCAUGUGGUUUAAUUCGAUGAUACGCGAGGAACCUUACCAGGGCUUAAAUGUAAGUUGCAUUAGUUAGAGAUAGCUAUUUCUUCGGACUACUUACAAGGUGCUGCAUGGUUGUCGUCAGCUCGUGCCGUGAGGUGUCAGGUUAAGUCCUAUAACGAGCGCAACCCCUGUUGUUAGUUGCCAUCGAGUCAUGUCGGGAACUCUAACAAGACUGCCGGUGCAAACCGUGAGGAAGGUGGGGAUGACGUCAAAUCAUCACGGCCCUUACGUCCUGGGCUACACACGUGCUACAAUGGCCGGUACAGAGAGCAGCCACUACGCGAGUAGGCGCGAAUCUUCAAAGCCGGUCUCAGUUCGGAUCGGAGUCUGCAACUCGACUCCGUGAAGCUGGAAUC